AGCGAACGCUGGCGGCAGGCUUAACACAUGCAAGUCGAACGGUCCUUCGGGAUAGUGGCGGACGGGUGAGUAACACGUGGGAACGUACCCUUAGGUUCGGAACAACACAGGGAAACUUGUGCUAAUACCGGAUAAGCCCUUCGGGGGAAAGAUUUAUCGCCUUUGGAGCGGCCCGCGUCUGAUUAGCUUGUUGGUGAUGUACUGGCUCACCAAGGCUACGAUCAGUAGCUGGUCUGAGAGGAUGGCCAGCCACACUGGGACUGAGACACGGCCCAGACUCCUACGGGAGGCAGCAGUGGGGAAUCUUGCGCAAUGGGCGAAAGCCUGACGCAGCCAUGCCGCGUGGAUGAUGAAGGUCUUAGGAUUGUAAAAUCCUUUCACCGGGGACGAUAAUGACGGUACCCGGGGAAGAGGCCCCGGCUAACUUCGUGCCAGCCGCCGCCGUAA
rnacentral:rRNA from 1 species